rnacentral:rRNA from 1 species
GGAGUUGUUGCUGGCCUCUAGGGGCAUGUGCACGCUUCACUAGUCUUUCAACCACUUGWGAACUUUUGAUAGAUCUGUGAAGUCGUCUCUCAAGUCGUUAGACUUGGUUUGCUGGGAUGUAAACGUCUCGGUGUGACUACGCAGUCUAUUUACUUAUAACACCCCAAAUGUAUGUCUACGAAUGUCAUUUAAAGGGCCUUGUGCCUAUAAACCAUAAUACAACUUUCAACAACGGAUCUCUUGGCUCUCGCAUCGAUGAAGAACGCAGCGAAAUGCGAUAAGUAAUGUGAAUUGCAGAAUUCAGUGAAUCAUCGAAUCUUUGAACGCACCUUGCGCCCCUUGGUAUUCCGAGGGGCAUGCCUGUUUGAGUGUCAUUAAAUUCUCAAACUCACUCUGGUUUUUCCAAUUGUGAUGUUUGGAUUGUUGGGGGCUGCUGGCCUUGACAGGUCGGCUCCUCUUAAAUGCAUUAGCAGGACUUCUCAUUGCCUCUGCGCAUGAUGUGAUAAUUAUCACUCAUCAAUAGCACGCWUKMWUAKMGUCUGGCUCUCUAMCCGUCCGCAAGGACAAUUUGACAAUUUGACCUCAAAUCAGGUAGGACUACCCGCUGAACUUAAGCAUAUCAAUAAGCGGAGGAA